AGGCCUAGUAAUAAUAAAACGUUACAUUUUUAUUUCAGUCGACUAGGGCAUCAUCGUUUACUUCUUGAACUCGCCGCUUUUGUGUUUUCUUACUCUGCAAAAUAAACCAUUUCAUCUCUUUGCAUUCCCUCAAGUUCAAUAUAUUCUUUAAAUUCGAGAAUUAUUGAUGUGUUAAUUACAUUAAACACUGUAACGUUUCGGGAAUCUUCGGUUAUUGGUUCCCUUUUUAUAUAAAUAGGAGAUGGAUGAGACUCUGACGAACGUUAGCAAUAGCUGUCAUAUUAAAUUUCUUCCUUCAGCUUCAAAAAAAUCUCACAAAGAUGUCUUCCUGCGAUGCCGCCGUUGUUGCCCCAACAUUGUUCGAUGCUCUCCGUCUGGGUAGAUCUGCUCAGGUCAUCGUGGCUCCCCUUCUCCGUUUUUGGGACUCCAGAAACAUCAAGGAACAAGGUGAAUUACCUUGCGUUUCCUUGAUGAGCAGAAUUCUGUGAUCCAUGAAUUUAUUCCUGCCGCUCGCUUCACUCACUACCGUCCAUCUUUACGAAGUGGUUCCAUCGUCAAAGGUUCACGCUUUGAAGUUGCUAGAUGCACUAAUAUGUACAAGAUUACUGACAAUCCAUUUGUAAUAUUGUUGGAAUGAUUCGCUCCGUCCAAGGUUCCGAUCUUAAGGAUGCUGGAGUAAUGACUCGAGUUGUGGUCCGCUUCGUCAUCGAACCGAACAUUGUGGUGUAUCUGUCCUUAUGGGUGGAAGCUGCGGCAAUGUUUCAUAAACAGCUCAAUGGAGAUCUACUUGUCUUUAUGGGACGAACCUGCAGUCAAGUUUAGGGGUCUUCUUAAAUCAGGGGAUAGAACUAACUCUGUCAUUUUGGUCACAACUGUGAUCCCAUUAAAAACUGGAGGCACCAUGUUUGUCAAAUCAUCUCCAGCUACCAAUUUUUUUUGGGACCCCAAUCUCCCACCCAUUACAGAGUUCACAGCUAGCUUAAAAGAUGCCAGGGGGAAGAGUUCCCCUGUUUCCAGACUUCAAACACCAAUGCAGCUCCAUUGUUUAAGAAAGACAUUGGUCAAGCAUCUGUUUCUCCCAACACCGAAAUUGAAGGUCAAGAGGAUGACACAAUAACAAGCGUUAAGGACAAAGAGGUUCACCAAAUACGCACCCGUGAGUGAAGUUACGAAGAAAUCACAUAAGUCAACCCAACUGCCUCUGUUUCUUUUCAUUUUUUUUUUCAUUCCUAUGCAUUUCCUAUGACGCACUUUGCAGUAUUUUCCAUACUUUCAGCUUUUUAAAAUAACAAAUUUACAGACAAGUACCUUUUCGGAGAACAACUGUUACUAUUAAUUGAUAUUGGAAAAGGUUAACGUU